GUCCACGCCGUAAACGAUGGAUACUAGCUGUUGGAAGCAAUUUCAGUGGCUAAGCGAAAGUGAUAAGUAUCCCACCUGGGGAGUACGUUCGCAAGAAUGAAACUCAAAGGAAUUGACGGGGCCCGGCACAAGCGGUGGAGCAUGUGGUUUAAUUCGAUGAUACGCGAGGAACCUUACCAAGGCUUAAAUGUAGAUUGACCGGUUUGGAAACAGAUCUUUCGCAAGACAAUUUACAAGGUGCUGCAUGGUUGUCGU
rnacentral:rRNA from 1 species